UACAGAGGGGGCAAGCGUUAUUCGGAAUUAUUGGGCGUAAAGGGCGCGUAGGCGGCAUGGCAAGUGGAUGGUGAAAUCCCUCGGCUUAACCGAGGAACUGCCGUCCAAACUGCUUCGCUUGAGACCGGGAGAGGUGAGUGGAAUUCCCAGUGUAGCGGUGAAAUGCGUAGAUAUUGGGAGGAACACCAGUGGCGAAGCGCUCACUGACCGUACUGACGCUGAUGCGCGAAGCGUGGGAGCAACGG
rnacentral:rRNA from 1 species